rnacentral:lncRNA from 1 species
AGGACGACAGCCAGUGGAUCACCAUUGGAGCUCGUGGUCAAGCUUUCACGGAGGAGACUGAAGCGACGACUCCCGAUGGCGAUUCCGGAGCUUCCACGGCGGAGAUUCUGAGCACAGCCACGGGAGAUAGAGAGGCCGUGAGCCGACGAUGACGACGGAGCACUACGGUGGAGCUGAGCACGACCACAGAGGAAGCUUGGUCGCGUCUUGGAGGAGACGGUGGCGCAGUCACGGCUUGAUUUGCGACGAAGACUGAAGCUUGGGCUGACGACGACGACGGCGUGAAUCGGAGCAGGAGAGAUACACCGUUGAGCAUUGAGCGUGGUUCACAGCGACCACUGGCAACGCGGGAAGAAGAACCCGCUCGGGAAAUCCAUCAUAAAAGAUCAAGCAUCACAGCGGCUUAGUGAAACGGGAUGAUGAACCCGCUGGGAAAAGACCCAUGCCCCUGUCCAAUAUCGACUUGGUGGAGCGGGAUGCGGUGGCCGCUGUGGAUGCGAUUUUGAGAUGUUGACCGGUUUAUUCCGGUUUGACCCGAUUUAAUUCAAUUAAACCAGC